UCCCUGGUAGUAUAUCGGUUAGUACACGCGCCUGUCAUGAUUUGGUGCGACGUGCGAACGCGCGAAAGCUGGGUUCGACUCCCAGCCAGGGAG